rnacentral:rRNA from 1 species
GACGGAGGGUGCUAGCGUUGUUCGGAAUUACUGGGCGUAAAGGGCGCGUAGGCGGCCCUGUCAGUCGGGUGUGAAAGCCCGGGGCUCAACCCCGGAACGGCACCCGAGACGGCGGGGCUGGAGACCGGGAGAGGAGGGUGGAAUAGCCAGUGUAGAGGUGAAAUUCGUAGAUAUUGGCUGGAACACCGGUGGCGAAGGCGGCUAUCUGGCCCGUAAUUGACGCUGAGGCGCGAAAGCUAGGGGAGCGAACGGG